rnacentral:rRNA from 1 species
CCUCCAAGGCUAAAUACUACCUAGUGACCGAUAGCGUAUAGUACCUGGAGGGAAAGGUGGAAAGAACCCCGGGGGGGGAGUGAAAUAGAGCCUGAAGCCCCGCACUGACAGGCUGUGGAAGCCCAUUUCUUGUGUGACCGCGUACUUUUUGUAGAACGGGCGAACGAGUUACGUUAAGUAGCAAGGUUAAGCACUUAAGGUGCGGAGCCGUAGCGAAAGCGAGUUUUACCUGAGCGUUCAGUUACUUGACGGAGACCCGAAACCGGGCGACCUACCCAUGAGCAGGAUGAAGCGAAAGUAAAAUUUCGUGGAGGUCCGAACCCACGAGCGUUGAAAAGCUCGGGGAUGACUUGUGGGUAGCGGUGAAAUUCCAAUCGAGCCCGGAGAUAGCUGGUUCUCCCCGAAAUAGCUUUAGGGCUAGCCUCAAGGUGAGAGAUACGGA